rnacentral:rRNA from 1 species
AGAGUGAACGCUGGCGGUAGGCCUAACACAUGCAAGUCGAACGGCAGCACAGUGGUAGCAAUACCAUGGGUGGCGAGUGGCGGACGGGUGAGGAAUACAUCGGAAUCUACCUUUUCGUGGGGGAUAACGUAGGGAAACUUACGCUAAUACCGCAUACGCCCUUUGGGGGAAAGCCGGGGAUCGCAAGACCUGGCGCGGAUAGAUGAGCCGAUGUCGGAUUAGCUAGUUGGUGAGGUAAUGGCUCACCAAGGCGACGAUCCGUAGCUGGUCUGAGAGGAUGAUCAGCCACACUGGAACUGAGACACGGUCCAGACUCCUACGGGAGGCAGCAGUGGGGAAUAUUGGACAAUGGGCGCAAGCCUGAUCCAGCCAUACCGCGUGGGUGAAGAAGGCCUUCGGUUAGUAAAGUCCUUUGUUAGGGAAAGAAAAGCUAAGUUCGGUUAAUACCCGGUGUUCGUGACGGUACCCAAAGAAUAACGCACCGCUAACUUCGAGCCAGCAGCCG